GAUGCUAAGGAGAUGGAGAACCAAAAACAAGUAGAUUUAAUUGAAGAACUUUCAUUUGCGGUGUCGUAAUAUGUGAAGUCUUGCUUGAGAAUGCUUCGGAUACUUGGCUGUGGAAGGUAGAAUGGAAAUUUCAACAAGAAAAUCGUAACUCUAAUAGAAUACUAACUAAACUCUAAUUAGACCAUAACAAUGCUAAACAAGCUUUAAUCAAAUUCAAAGAAAUCUAAAAGGAAUUACAAAGAAACAAUAAAAAAUCUUAAAGAAAUAUUAGAAUCAUGACAAAUAUAUUUCAAAUACAUCUCAAUUCAAUCUUAAUUUAAUCUUAGUUGAAAUUCUAUUCGACUUCAUUCAAACUUUAGGCCAAAAACUAACUAAAUCUUAAAUCUUAAAUAAACUCAAAUAAAACCCUAAACCAAAUCCUAAAUCCUAAAUCAAAUCCUAAUCAAAUCCUAAAUCCUAAACCAAAUCUUAAUCUUAAAUCAAAUCUUAACCAAACGCUAACCAAAUCCUAACCCUAAAUCAAAUCCUAAUCAAAUUCUAAAUUUUAAACCAAGUCCUAAUCAAACCUUAAUCCUAAAUCAAAUCCUAACCAAAUCCUAAUCCUAAAUCAAAUCCUAACCAGAUUCUAAUUCUAAAUCAAACCCUAAAUCCUAAAUCAGAUCCUAGUAAUUCCUACAACAUAUUUACACCUUAAUUACUAAUAAAUGAAUCAUUGUAUUUAACUCAAAAUUUUCAAGCUUUUUAACAAUUAAAUUGAUAAGAAGUGCAAAAAAAUUUGAAAAUGAUUAGAAUUAUCAAAUAGACGAUAGCCUCAAAAACGUACUUGGAUAUUGGCUAGCUUCCUUCUCCGACCUUAAUACCACUCUUCAAAAGCCAAUAUUUCUCCUUUUCACCAUUCGAUUGAUCUCAAAAUUCUCAUAUACAUAGAAAAAUAAGUCUAAUAUCUUCUUACAUAAAUUUCACUCCAAUCCAACUAGUAAAUUGCAAGAAAUCAUAAAAACCCUCAUUGGACCUAAAAUUCUACUUUUUGAGACCUUGACCUACUUAAACCUCAAUAACACUCAAUUUAACUAUUAGAUCGAGCUAAGAUUUACAAUACAUAUUAAUCACAACUAUGACCAUUAAUUCACAAAAUUUCAUCCAUAGAUCUAUUACAAAACUCUUGAAAUCACUAGAAAUGUCAAUCUUAUUCUAUUUCACAAAAUCCAAGUCAUCUAAAAACAAUCU
rnacentral:lncRNA from 1 species